GGGACUGAGAGGUGGAACACAGCUCAGCCCUGAGAGGUGGAACACAGCUCAGCUCUCAGAGGUGGAACACAGCUCAGCUCUCAGAGGUGGAACACAGCUCAGCUCUCAGAGGUGGAACACAGCUCAGCUCUCAGAGGUGGAACACAGCUCAGCCCUGAGAGGUGGAGCACAGCUCAGCUCUCAGAGGUGGAACACAGCUCAGCUCUCAGAGGUG